ensembl:snoRNA
UGGUUGUUACCAAGGCAUUUAGCAUGCAAUUUCUCAUUUGCUGUGGACACAUCGAUAAGAGAAUUCCUCACUGGGUUUUCUGUCUGCCACCUUGCUAACGAUCAGCCCACUGGGAACAUUU